GCCUCAGUAACGGCGAGUGAAGCGGCAACAGCUCAAAUUUGAAAUCUGGCCUCUUUGGGGUCCGAGUUGUAAUUUGUAGAGGAUGUUUCGGGUACCGCCCCGGUUUAAAUUUCUUGGAACAGAAUGUCAAAGAGGGUGAGAAUCCCGUCUUGGACCGGCGGUAGGGCCCAUGUGAAACUCCUUCGACGAGUCGAGUUGUUUGGGAAUGCAGCUCAAAAUGGGUGGUAAAUUUCAUCUAAAGCUAA
rnacentral:rRNA from 1 species